UCCCUCCCUCCAGCGGUCCCUUCGAACAGCAGAAUUGGUGUCCCUUUCUUCAUCACGCCAGCGGUCCCGUCGACCGGGUUCCAUAUCGAGCACAGAUGGCCUAAAAACAUCUUUCUUCUUUUGAUUAUCAUGUGUAUCAUCACCCAUCCCUGGAAAUUUUGCCAACUCAGAAUGAAUAGCAUAACCGGGAUGUGUACCGAGAUGGUUGUCCUGCAUUCAAACACGUCACCCAUCCCUGGAAAUUUUGCUAACUCAGAAUGAAUAGCAUAACCGGGAUGUGUACCGAGAUGGUUGUCCUGCAUUUAAACACCAAGAGAUGACCGAAACAUUUGUGAUUGACUCAUUUAUGAAUUAAUAAUUCAACAAACCGCUACACAAUUUAAGCAGAAAUCCUCAACUGCUUAUAUCAUAGCUCUAAAAUACUUCUUAAAAAGGGGGAAACGGUACAAGGUUUAAACAAGGAAAAUCCAAAGAAAUAAUGAACACACCCCG
rnacentral:lncRNA from 1 species